ACGGGCCGGCGCGGACGCCCGUUCAGACGGUAUUCGUCCAAGUCCGC
rfam:Novosphingobium sp. AP12 PMI02_contig_69.69, whole genome shotgun sequence.